AAAAGAAGAAGCUUGCUCUUCCGACCCAAAAGGCUUUUGCCGUGAUAUUACUUCCCCCUAUUCGACGAUUCACUCUUCCUGGACUUGCUUGACUCGUCCGAAAAAAGAGGGAAAGUGCUAAGACCGCUAAUGCAGCUAGGGGAGUUUAAGGACUCAUUUCCAAGGCUAGAAGCCUAGACUAGACUAGAAAGGAGAUUGCUUUGGUCUUCAGUCAGCUCUACUAGAUGCAGUUGCCCAGGAAUCCAAUGCACUAACUCCUGGAAGCUCCAUUCAUGCCCACCUACCGACCGAGGAAGACGCUACCGAUCCCUGAAUCGAGGGACUACGCGCUUUCAAUCCCUUACAGCUGCCUUCCAAGCCCUUCCACUGCCCGAACUACCAAUCGCCCCACUAUCUGCUAGUCUGGUUCGACUCGAACUUCUGUCAUGUCAAGCUUCCUGACCUGCUU
rnacentral:lncRNA from 1 species